rnacentral:rRNA from 1 species
GGCGAACGCUGGCGGCAUGCCUAACACAUGCAAGUCGCACGGGUCGGCUUCGGCCGUUCAGUGGCGGACGUGUGAGGAACGCGUAGGGAUCUGUCUUCUUGUGGUGGAUAACCGCGGGAAACUGCUUCGAAGACCGCAUGCUGCUCCGGGGUGAUAGCCUGUGUCACAGGCGCGCAUCGCGAGGUGUGGGUCUGCGGGGGGUGAGCCUGCGUCCGAUUAGCUGGUUGGAGGGGUAGUGGGCCACCAAGGCGUCGCUCGGUAGCUGGUAUGGGAGGGUGGUCAGCAACACUGGGACAGGGACACGGACCGAACUCCUCGGGAAGGCAGAAGGGGGGAAUAUGGAACACUGGGGCAAGCCUGAUCCAGCAAUGCCGCGUGGGUGAAGAAGGUCUGCGGAUUGUAAAGCCCUUGCGGCGGGGACGAUGGUGACGGUACCCGCAGAAGAAGCCCCGGCUAACUUCGUG